rnacentral:ncRNA from 1 species
AAAUUGAAGAGUUUGAUCAUGGCUCAGAUUGAACGCUGGCGGCAGGCCUAACACAUGCAAGUCGAGCGGUAGCACAGAGAGCUUGCUCUCGGGUGACGAGCGGCGGACGGGUGAGUAAUGUCUGGGAAACUGCCUGAUGGAGGGGGAUAACUACUGGAAACGGUAGCUAAUACCGCAUAAUGUCGCAAGACCAAAGUGGGGGACCUUCGGGCCUCAUGCCAUCAGAUGUGCCCAGAUGGGAUUAGCUAGUAGGUGGGGUAACGGCUCACCUAGGCGACGAUCCCUAGCUGGUCUGAGAGGAUGACCAGCCACACUGGAACUGAGACACGGUCCAGACUCCUACGGGAGGCAGCAGUGGGGAAUAUUGCACAAUGGGCGCAAGCCUGAUGCAGCCAUGCCGCGUGUGUGAAGAAGGCCUUCGGGUUGUAAAGCACUUUCAGCGGGGAGGAAGGCGUUAAGGUUAAUAACCUUGGCGAUUGAC